UAUUCUGUUCCUUAUGCUGUUCCCUCCCCUUACUAUGCUCCUUGUUCUAAUCCUUAUGCAUACCCCCACGCUGCUCCUUCUCCUUACGCUGAUCAUUAUGCAUACCCCCACGCUGCUCCUUCUCCAUACGCUGAUCGUUAUGCUUACCCCCACGCUGCUCCUUCUCCAUACGCUGAUCGUUAUGCUUACCCCCACGCUGCUCCUUCUCCAUACGCUGAUCGUUAUGCUUACCCUCAAGCUGCUGCUGCUCCUGCCUACCCUCAUACUGCCCUUUACGCUGACCCUCCCCAUGAUGCACGUCCUUUAGAUGAUGUUGAUAACGAUGGUCUUGAUGAGUAUCUUCACAGGUAAUUGGACGAGCAGUCGUCUGAGGAUGAAGAUGAAGAGGAAGAGAUCGACGUUGUCGGACUCGACAUCCCUGUUCUUGAUGUUGAGGAAAUCGGGCCACUCUUCCUUGAAGAUUCCUCCGAGGAGCCAGAAGACGCUCUCGUUCCUGGAUCUCCCUCAAGUUCUCGCUCCGGCUGCUCCACAAAAAGAUGCAGGGAAGACAGUGAGGAGGAGGAGUCUGCUGCGAAGAGGCCGCGGUGGUCAGAGGACAGCGACGAGGAUUGAGUCUGCCAUGGUUGGGUUGAUCCUACUUGUAACAUCAGAGCAAUACCUGCCCUCCAUCUCUUCCUCUUCACCGCAGGACCAGAUUAUUCUGCUGGUAGCCUUAGCGUCUUGCGUAGCCGAUCCAGUUAGCAUCUUGCUCCAACUUGAUUGACACUUUUCUAAAUAGUGGGGCUGGCCUUUGCGUCUUGCAGGGCUGCCAACAACCCAGGACGCGUCUCGCCAUGGGAUUUUCUUUGGUGUACCAUCUCAUUAUUUGUAGCUCAAUCUUUCUUUCUUUGAUUCUGUGGGCAGACACUGCUCCAGGUAGCCUUUGCGUCUGGCAGGGCGGGUCCAGGUAGCGUCUUGCACUGAUUUGAUUGACCUUUUUCUUAAUGUCGGGGCUGGCCUUUGCGUCUGGCUGGGCAAGCAAAGCCCCUGGUAGCCUCUGCAUCUUGCGGUGCUGGCAAACACCCAGGAAACGUCCUGGACUGGGGAUUUUUGGUGUGCCAUCUACCAAUUUCUUUGCACAGUGGAUCUACGUUGGACCUUGGAGCCUUCACCUUGAUCGUGGGUUUGCUUGAAUAACCCUCAUGUCAUGCCCUCACAGUGAAGCUGACAGCACUGUGUGUCCUGGAAGACUCUGCAGUCUGCUGUUCUCAAGGUCAAACGAAAAACAUCACUGGAAACCACUGCACUGACAUAAGAAGAAGCAGGAAAAGCCACAAAAUCAAAGAGAACACAUGGCACUUUACUCUCAUAGCACCUUUACUCACCAAUUGACAGGCAAUGCACUGGACACCUUCAAAAUAUAUAACAUCAAGCAUGAGCAGACUUUAUUGAAUAAAAAAAUCCUCCAAAAAUAAGAUUUAAUUUAAGCCUGCUAAAAAAUAGGCAUCUCAUAAGGAAGCCUCCUGAAUGUUUUUUCUCCACAGCUCAAAAUUAUUAAAGGGAUAGUUUGAAGUGGGGAUGUACGGACAGUCAGGGUCUUGCCUACAGUAGAUUGUGAUCAACAAACCCUGUUUGAAGAAACAAAAAGGCCAUACAGCACCACAGCGAAGCAAAGUAUUUAUAUGGAGCAAAAUAUUUUUUAGCCACUUGAAAGAAAUAUUGAACCCAGUAUACCUUCCCUUGCCAACGGGAGAGUGAAGCAACUAUCUAUUCUUUCUUAAAAGCCACCACACUUCAUUCACAAAACAGUCAUUUUUACCUCACAGAACACAGGAGCUGCUGGUCUACCGUUGCCACAGUCUGUUAGUUAGUUUAUGUAAUUGUGUGACUUAAACUCGCUAGUUUGGAUUCACCAAGCAGCCCCUAUACACGGCAGUACAUGACUUUACUUCCAUGCACUAACUCUGCCUCCUUUUACGAACUCGGGACGUGCCGACCCCCAUCUACUGAAAGUAAUACACUGACUAUGGGGAAUUACCUCAAACAAUCCUUCCCUGUCCCUUUUUUAAUUUGGCCAAAAAAGGUAUAGUAACCAUAUACAAUAUAUUAUAUCUUUAAUAUUUAAUAAUUCAGAGAUCAUUUGUGUUACUCACCAUCUUUUUCCUUACUUCACUCUUUUCUAACUCCACUAACUGAGAUGCUGUUCACCGAAGACAACAAAGAUAAGUAUGAGCUUCUGUCCUGUAGAGAAAGGGUCCUGGAAUAGUCUAUAUACUAUAAAAACAGAAGAAAGUAUUAUCAUGUGACGGUCCUACAAAACUGAAUGCUAAAUCUAAUUGUUUAUAUAAUAUCACUUUUUCAGUAAUUCACAGAUAAAGGCUGACUCAAACUAAAAAGAAAUCCACUUUAUAUGCUUCUCUUGUUUGCCUUUAUAUCAUCACUAAUUCAAGUUUCUCUUUGAGAUUGCAGCCAUUCUCUGUAGACAUCAAGGUAAGAACGAGCUUCUGACUCAACAUGAAGAAGAUAAUGUUGUUGUGUAAACUAGUUCUCUGUGAUAUCAUUGAUUCAAAAUUGAAAUAUUAUGUUUUACUUGUCAUUUAAUAUCUUUUUCCUUUCUUUCCUCCACCACCUGAGCUGCUGCGAUACACUGAGGAUAGAAAACCAGUAGAGUAGUAGGAUAUAAAAAAAGAACAGCAAAUGUAACGUUUUAAAUAAACGAUCUGCAUCCUGUAAGCUACACUCAUUCAUACAUGCAUCGAUAUUCAGCCAUUUUAUUUUAACUAACCAUUAUGUAUAUUUCUCUCUGCACUCCACCACCUGAGCUCCUGCUGUUCCCCGUGCAGUAAAGGUGAGUGUAAGCUUCAGACUGACAUAAAGUGCAGCACAUGCAGGGUUACCUUGACGACUCAAAAGGAAAUGCAGAACUGCAGGAGAACAGACAGAGGUAACAAUCAAUAAAAACAUUCAGAGACAUUUCCUAUAAGUUUCAAUUUAGCUUUUUUAUAAUUCAGAUUGUUGCUCAUUGUAUUUUACUCUGAACACCUUUCAUGAAUUUCUCAUACAGACAGUGUUCCUGCAGCAAAUCCAGGCUUACCUCUGCAAGAGAGCUGACAGGACUCCUCUCUUGUCUCUGGAAGUCCUGGGUCUGAGUGGGUGCAGACCAGAGCCAUCAUCAGAGCGCUCCACUGAGCACUCUGUUGCCAAGAUCUCUCACUGUUUGUUGACUUCAAUAAAACACCCGGACCAAUCUAAAGUCAA